AUUGCCAUUUAACAGUUAAAAGUCUCUUGCUUGCUACAAACGGAUUUCAAGAUCUGGCUUAUUUUGAAGAUCACUGGAUUCAUACUUUUUUGUGCUAAUUGAGGGGGCUCCCUAGACACCCCGUUUUUCUAUUUUUCACUGUGACUUUAUCCCUCUGCCUAGCCUUUUAAACUUCUUACUCCACUGUGUCAGCAAUAACAACAAUAAUAAAUACAGUUAUAAUAAACAUCAUUUUUUGAUCAUUUACCACUUUACAUAUAUUAUCUCAUUUAAUCUUCAAGAGUUCUGUGAGGUAUUAGUUCCAUUUCACAGAGAGGGAUGAAAUCAGCUUGUCCAAAAUUACAAAGCUAGAGAGGAAUAGAGCCUGGAUUCAUUCCAAGGUGUAACCCCAAGUCUCCUAUUCCAGAGUUUCUCAACUUUGUUAAAAUUCGGAAUCCUAUGCUUUGCUCUAGACCUACAGAAUGAGUCUCAGGUCAGGUGUGGGCGUUCUCCUGGGAUGAUCUCCAAUAAGUAGUGUUAAGCACAGAACAAAAGCAACAUGCUGAUCAAUGGCAGCAGCAGAGGGUCUGAGCAUCUCGGACCCUCUGAAGCUUGAGGGUCACGAUGACAAGCCUGUCCGCCCACUGCAUAGGCCCUCUUGGCUCUGACCUUUCAUUGCUGUCUCUGAUCUUGUUUCAAGCCCCUCGCCUACUUCCAGAGCCCGUGGAAGUGGAGAAGUUGAUGGAAGAUGUUGGCCCCACAUUCCUGCGUGGUGCCGAUUCACACUCCUGUGUGGGGCGGAGAACACCAGCUCGCUCUACGGUAUCAAACACCUCUCCAGCUGUGCACAGCCUUUUGGCUCCUUGGCUCUUGGCCAGGAGAUGGAACCUGACAUACCUCAGGAAGCACGGCCUCUGGAAGGUGCCCCUCUGCAGCAGUGAGGGUAUGUUUAGGGCCACGGGGGCAAUUUACAACUCUCCUUGGAACCUGCAAGGUCUCCCAGCAAUGACAGCUGAGCUGAACGGAAAAUAAAAUGCUUUCAAAGGUCCAGAUUAGAAACUUCUUCAGCUGGCAAUCAUCCCCAAAGACAUGAUUUUCUAAAAGUGGCUGUUGUUGUUUCUCCAGGUUCCUAGGACCUCACUGCAGAAGAUGCUGAAGCAUGUGAGAACUGCUGUACCCCGCCAAACGGAGGGGCAGGAGGAAAAGGCCACUGAGAUUCUUUCAAGUCCAGAUCAACGGGUAUGAGUCUUUCUUCCGAAGCUGAUGAACGACACAAACGGUGGAGGAACCACUUCAGAUAUUUUUUAAGUCACCAUGAAGAAGUAUGAAUAUUUUUAUAGGCUUAUGCUUUACAAAUUGAAUUAACAAUCAUUAUCCCACUGAUUCUGCAAAGUACAGAUGAGAGGCAAAGAAAGACAAGGCAAAUAAAACUGGCCAGGGUAGUUUUUCCUCCAGAGUUUGUCGCUUCCCAUUCUAUCCAUCCUCCUCUUUUUCCUCUCUUUGCUAACUGCUGAUGCAACUACCUUUACUUUGGCCCCGUUUAUAUUCGGAAGACUUUUACUAAGAUUACUUUGCGAAGAAACAUAGGAUUCUUGUUUUGGAACCUGCCAUUAAGUGCAAAGUCCAAGAUAAACCAGAGCAGUGAAUUGAAAGUUCUAAAUCCGCUUAAAAGCUUCUGUGUUCCACAAUUCACUGCAGAUUUAAAAAAAGAAACCUGGCUACUAAAUCACUAUGCUUAGAGCCAGACAAGCAAGAUCACAACACACUACAAUAUCUUGGUAGAAUGACUUAUUAAGUGCACUUAAGUGUACACUAAAAUGCAAAGGAAAGUUAACACAGCAGGUUGAACCCAGUGCUUCCUAACCAUCCCAUCUCUUUCUUCAUGUUGAGCUUCUUCGCCAGUAUGGGCAAGUACCACUAUCUUCAUUUCCAGAUGUGUUCAGAUAAGCAUAAAUCUCUGCUAGGAACACAAAUAAUGCCAGCAUCAACUAUCAGGAAGGAACCAGAGUGUCCUAACUUCUUAGGUAGAGAGCCAUUUCCUGCAACUUCUAAUUUCAC
rnacentral:lncRNA from 10 species